UGGCGGCAUGGCUAAAACAUGCAAGUCGAACGCGAACGGGGCUUCGGCCCUUAGUAGAGUGGCGAAAGGGCGAGUAAUGCAUACUUUACGUACCUCCAGGUGCGGGAUAGCUCGGGGAAACCCGUGGUAAUACCGCAUAAUCCGGGAAACCGGCAAAGGCUUGCUGCCUAGAGAGCGGGGAACGUCCUAUCAGGUUGUUGGUGAGGUAAAGGCUCACCAAGCCUAAGACGGGUAGCGGGUGUGAGAGCAUGACCCGCCGCAUCGGGACUGAGACACUGCCCGGACUCCUACGGGAGGCUGCAGUAACGAAUAUUCCGCAAUGCACGAAAGUGUGACGGAGCAAUGCCGCGUGCAGGAUGAAGCCUCUAGGGGUGUAAACUGCUGUCAGGGUUUAGGAAUAAUGACCAGACCCAAAGGAAGGGCCGGCUAACUUCGUGCCAGCAGCCGCGGUAAUACGAAGGGCCCGAGCGUUGCGCGGAAUCACUGGGCUUAAAGCGUGCGCAGGCGGAUCCGUAAGUACCUUGUGAAAUCCCAUGGCUCAACCAUGGAACUGCUCGGUAUACUGCGGAUCUUGAGAUCGGUAGGGGCCAUCGGAACGAUAGGUGGAGCGGUGAAAUGCGUAGAUAUCUAUCGGAACGCCUAAGGCGAAGGCAGAUGGCUGGGCCGAUUCUGACGCUCAUGCACGAAAGCGUGGGGAGCGAACGGGAUUAGAUACCCCGGUAGUCCACGCCCUAAACGAUGUGAACUAGAUCGCAGCUGCUCUGACCCCAUCGCGGCUGAAGGAAAAGUAUUAAAUACACCGCCUGGGGAGUACGGUCGCAAGGCUAAAACUCAAAGGAAUUGACGGGGGCUCACACAAGCGGUGGAGCAUGUGGCUUAAUUCGAAACAACGCGAAGAACCUUAUCCAGGGCUUGACAUGUACGGAUUAUUGCCCCGAAAGGGGGUUCGACGCUCUCAUGAGUGGAACAUACACAGGUGCUGCAUGGCUGUCGUCAGCUCGUGCUGUGAAGUGUCGGGGUAAGUGCCUUAACGAGCGAAACCCCUAUCACUAGUUGCCAUCAGGUUGCUGGGGACUCUAGGGAGACUGCCGGCGUUAAGCCGGAGGAAGGUGGGGAUGACGUCAAGUCCUCAUGGCCUUUAUGCCCUGGGCUGCACACGUGCUACAAUGGUACGGACAGAGCGACGCAAGACCGCGAGGUGGAGCAAAUCGCACAAACCGUGCCCCAGUUCGGAUUGUAGUCUGCAACUCGACUACAUGAAGUUGGAAUCGCUAGUAAUCGCGUAUCAGCUACGACGCGGUGAAUAAGUUCCUGAGCCUUGUACACACCGCCCGUCACGUCAUGGGAGCCGGGAGCACCCGAAGUGCAGCGACUCAGCUGUCCCUACGUAAACUCGGUGACUGGGACGAAGUCGU
rnacentral:rRNA from 1 species